GGGGAGCCCUAAGACAGGUGCUGCAUGGCUGUCGUCAGCUCGUGCCGUGAGGUGUCGGGUUAAGUCCCGCAACGAGCGCAACCCCUAUCUUCAGUUGCCAGCAGGUAAGGCUGGGCACUCUGGAGAGACCGCCCCGGUCAACGGGGAGGAAGGUGGGGACGACGUCAAGUCAUCAUGGCCCUUACGCCUGGGGCUACACACGUACUACAAUGGCGCGCACAAAGGGUAGCGAGACCGCGAGGUGGAGCCAAUCCCAAAAAACGCGUCCCAGUCCGGAUUGGAGUCUGCAACUCGACUCCAUGAAGUCGGAAUCGCUAGUAAUUCGAGAUCAGCAUGCUCGGGUGAAUGCGUUCCCGGGCCUUGUACACACCGCCCGUCACACCACGAAAGUCGGUUUUACCCGAAGCCGGUGAGCUAACUCGCAAGAGAAGCAGCCGUCUACGGUAGGGCCGAUGAUUGGGGUGAAGUCGUAACAAGGUAACGA
rnacentral:rRNA from 1 species